rnacentral:rRNA from 1 species
UACGUAGGGUGCGAGCGUUAAUCGGAAUUACUGGGCGUAAAGCGUGCGCAGGCGGUUUUGUAAGCCAGAUGUGAAAUCCCCGGGCUUAACCUGGGAAUGGCAUUUGGGACUGCAAGGCUUGAGUGCGGCAGAGGAGAGUGGAAUUCCUGGUGUAGCGGUGAAAUGCGCAGAUAUCAGGAAGAACACCCGUGGCGAAGGCGGCUCUCUGGGACGGUACUGACGCUGAGACGCGAAAGCGUGGGGAGCGAACAGG